AUUGAACGCUGGCGGCAUGCCUUACACAUGCAAGUCGAACGGCAGCACGGGGCAACCUGGUGGCGAGUGGCGAACGGGUGAGUAAUGCAUCGGAACGUACCUUUCAGUGGGGGAUAACGUAGCGAAAGUUACGCUAAUACCGCAUAUUCUGUGAGCAGGAAAGCAGGGGAUCGCAAGACCUUGCGCUGAUUGAGCGGCCGAUGUCAGAUUAGCUAGUUGGUGGGGGAAAGGCGCACCAAGGCGACGAUCGGUAGCGGGUCUGAGAGGAUGGUGGGCCACACUGGCACUGUCACACGGUCCAGACUCCUACGGGAGGCAGCAGUGGGGAAUUUUGGACACUGGGGGCAACCCUGAUCCAGCCAUGCCGCGUGAGUGAAGAAGGCCUUCGGGUUGUAAAGCUCUUUCGGCCGGGAAGAAAUCGCACGGGCUAAUACCCUGUGUGGAUGACGGUACCGGAAUAAGAAGCACCGGCUAACUACGUGCCAGCAGCCGCUGUAAUAC
rnacentral:rRNA from 1 species